AUUCUUUUGAAUGGACUCGUGGUGAGUUUUUGCAAUGUUGAGCUUUACUGUGGUGAAUUGAAAUUUACAGGGCGCUAACAGCCUGUUAGGUGGCUGUUAGGUGACAUGGCAAUGUUUCUAUAUUAUUUCUAACACUGCUUAAAGCUUAAUACAAAUAAAAAAGAAUUCAUGAAAUAAAAUAUUUCAAUAUUUUAUGCAAAAUAGGCCAAUGGUGCCAAAUUUAAGUUACGGUUUUCCCUUUACCCAAUACAACAACCCUUGCCUUACAUUAUUCUGUGUGACGUUUUACAGCACUGAAAUGAAAAAUACGUUUUUUGCAACACUACUGCAAAAGUUUUCUGCUGCUUCGACAACCCUAAUCUGUUAUUGUCGUCAAACUUAAAUCGACAACGCGCUAAACAACUGCUCAGCUACUUAUUCGGAAAGUGAAGAAAGAAAGUGAAAUAUAAACAAAUAAACUCUCCCCUGCAAGAAAGCCGGGGGUGUGAAAGGGUAAACAAUAAACCAUACGCCAUUGUCCAGCAAAAGCAACAGCAACAAGAAGGAGAAGGAGCACCUUACUGCGUCGCAGCAUUUUACCGUUUGUAGUCAGCAGCACCCAUCAUCUGGCCCAAAAAACGCACACACUGCUGGACCCAAAAGAAAGAGCCCGAGGACGGCCAUCAAUUAAAAGCGAAGAACAUUGGAAACUGCAGGCGGCGCAGAUUUUGGACUCGAAGCGUUACGGAGGCGGAGGCG